UCAGUAACGGCGAGUGAAGCGGCAACAGCUCAAAUUUGAAAUCUGGUCACCUUACGGAGGCCCGAGUUGUAAUUUGAAGAGGAUGCUUUUGGCGAGGUGCCUUCCGAGUGCCCUGGAACGGGACGCCACAGAGGGUGAGAGCCCCGUAUGGUUGGACACCGAGCCUAUGUAAAGCUCCUUCGACGAGUCGAGUAGUUUGGGAAUGCUGCUCAAAAUGGGAGGUAAACCCCUUCUAAAGCUAAAUAUUGGCCAGAGACCGAUAGCGCACAAGUAGAGUGAUCGAAAGAUGAAAAGCACUUUGAAAAGAGAGUUAAACAGCACGUGAAAUUGUUGAAAGGGAAGCGCUUGCGACCAGACUUGCGCCCGUCGGAUCAACCGUCGCUUGUCGGCGGCGCACUCCGGCGGGCUCAGGCCAGCAUCAGUUUUCCCGGGGGGAGAAAGGCGGUGGGAAUGUAGCUCCUAGGAGUGUUAUAGCCCGCCGCGUAAUACCCUCGGGGGGACUGAGGACCGCGCAU
rnacentral:rRNA from 1 species